CCUUCGAAGUUUAAUUUGUACCCUGAGAUUGCUAAUAUGAAAGUGUGAUCACAGCCUCGGAAAAUUCUUGACAUACCAAAACUACAUUCUUCGGAGAGCAUUCGCAGGCAUGUGUCUAUUUACUAAUUUACAUCAAACCUCAUGAAAAUUGAACUUGCUUUAGAUUUUGGAAAAUCAUAUUUCAGGACCUACAUAAUCUAUUUAUGGGUAUCGUAUUUGAGUGCAGAAUGUGGAAGUGGCUAGGUUUCUGUCUCUACUUACCGAUAUGCCAAGUUGUGGGAUAUACAGUACUGCCAUGUUGCAUUUGAACAAAUAAAUUACACUGCCCCUGCUGAGUAUCCUUGUCAUGGAUGUUUUCAGAACAUAUACAUAUCAAUUUGUUGGUCUCGGUAUAUGACACGCCAAAUCUUUUUUCCUUUGUCCAAUUGGUACAGAGCUAGGCAUCCCUGUCUAAAACUACCUACAUUUUAAUUUAUUCACCAAUGGAGGCAACUCUCAGACUUGGGUUUUGUUGGUAUUCUAUACCACCGAAAAAUGGGUUGUGCAUGUUUCUUAAAUAGGCAUUGUGUAAAUUUAUAAGUGCUGGCGUACCUGGAGCGCUUUGGUCCGUCCUUGCUCCGGCUCUCUGCUUCAGACACAGAUUUGUGCAGCUCUUCGGGUGAGCUGUUUGCGCAUGGUAUGGCUGGGGCACCAUACCGUGCCACGGUCGCUGGAGUGCAUGAACGCUACUAUUUCUCCGUAUAUUUUACAUGCCCCCUUUUAUUGGAGUUUUUGGUGCCUGCAGAGUUUAUAUGACUGAGGUGCAAGCAUUGUCAGUACUGGAUAACAGGUGUUUUGCUUUUGUACUAAUGCGGACUAGGAUCUCAAGCAGCUACAUCCAGAUGUCUGCAUAUGAUAGCUACAGAUGUUCGAUGCUCAGGCUACCUAGAAGAGUUUUAUCAGCCGUUAGUUUCAUGUUAACCUGCAAGAUCUGAUGCACUAUGAGAAAACACUGUCUAUAUAGUAGUGCACCUAUGAUACAUCAAUUUUUCAUCAGUACUUGGUUUCAUGUUAUGCUGUGGUCAGCAGUUCUCUUGUGUAGUUCAUGUUUUUUUCUCCAUAAUUGUAAUGUAAUCAGUAUGUGUUGAGGACUACCUAUCGACUCUUU